GGUCAAGUUAUUAAGGGUGCAGGGCGGAUGCCUUGGCACUAGGAGCCGAUGAAGGACGUGAUAAGCUGCGAUAAGCUUCGGGGAGUUGCACGUAAACUUUGAUCCGAAGAUUUCCGAAUGAGGAAACUCACUUAGAGUAAUGUCUAAGUAUCAUUAAGUGAAUACAUAGCUUAAUGAGGGGAACUCAGGGAACUGAAACAUCUAAGUACCUGAAGGAAGAGAAAGAAAUUCGAUUCCGUAAGUAGCGGCGAGCGAACGCGGAUUAGCCCAAACCAAUAAAGUUUUCUUUAUUGGGGUUGCGGACAUAUCAUAACGAAGAGGUAUCGUAAUUGAAGAGGUUUGGAAAGACCCACCACAGAAGGUAAUAGUCCUGUAUGUUAAACGAGAAGACUUCAGAUAUGAUCCAGAGU
rnacentral:rRNA from 1 species